GCGUCGGUGGUGCAAUGGUUAACAUUACGCUUUUGGGAAGAGUGAGAUGUGGGUUCAAAUCCCGGCCGAUGCA